GGGGGUGUAACUCAGAGGUAGAGCACUUGCCUAGCAAGUGUGAGGCUCUGGGUUCAAUCCCCAGCAUUGCAA
rnacentral:tRNA from 1 species